rnacentral:rRNA from 1 species
UACAGAGGAGCCAAGCGUUGUCCGGAUUGACUGGGCGUAAAGCGCACGCAGGUGGUCGUGCAAGUGUCGUGUGAAAGCAGCUCGCUCAACGAGCUGAGGCAUGGCAGACUGCAUCACUCGAGCCCGUGAGAGGUCGGUGGAAUUGCCGGUGUAGUGGUGAAAUGCGACAGAUAUCGGGAGGAACACCAGUAGCGAAGGCGGCUCGCUGGGCCGUUCCUGACGCUGAGACGCGAAAGCUAGGGGAGCGAACAGG